AUGAACGCUGGCGGCGUGCCUAAUACCUGCAAGUCGAGCGAACAGAUGAGGAGCUUGCUCCUCUGACGUUAGCGGCGGACGGGUGGGUAACACGUGGAUAACCUACCUAUAAGACUGGGAUAACUUCGGGAAACCGGAGCUAAUACCGGAUAAUAUAUUGAACCGCAUGGUUCAAUAGUGAAAGACGGUUUUGCUGUCACUUAUAGAUGGAUCCGCCCCGCAUUAGCUAGUUGGUAAGGUAACGGCUUACCAAGGCAACGAUGCGUAGCCGACCUGAGAGGGUGAUCGGCCACACUGGAACUGAGACACGGUCCAGACUCCUACGGGAGGCAGCAGUAGGGAAUCUUCCGCAAUGGGCGAAAGCUUGACGGAGCAACGCCGCAUGAGUGAUGAAGGUCUUCGGAUCGUAAAACUCUGUUAUUAGGGAAGAACAAAUGUGUAAGUAACUAUGCACGUCUUGACGGUACCUAAUCAGAAAGCCACGGCUAACUACGUG
rnacentral:rRNA from 1 species